UUAACGUAUAUUUAUUUUAUUUGAUUACAUUCUAAACAUUUUAACGAUUUAUGAAAUCAAAAAUAAUUUUAGAAUUUUAUGUUGAAAAGAAUUUGAAUUACGAAAAUACGUUUUUACUUAGAAAACAAUCAUAAUCGGUUUCGAAUUCAAACAUAAACUCAAUUAUAAUCCUAGCCCAAAUAACAAAGCCCAAAAUAAAUAACCCCAAAUAAACCCAUAACCCUUUCUCCUAUUCAACUUCACGUGAAACAAAAAUAAAAAGAGAAACAAAAGAAAACUCUCAAACCCUUGCUUCACCAUUCACGUGAAAACGCACAAGACUCUCUGCUUCAGCCACCGCCGCUCCUCCUUGCUGCUAUCCCUCACGCCGCCGUUCCUCUCUCCCGCCUUCACUUUCGUUGCUGCAGCCUCCCUCGCCGUCGGACCACCAUCACGCCACUGUUUCGUUCGCAGCAACCACCACCGCGCCACCAGCCGCGCCCAUAACGAUUGUUCGCCGCCGCACCACCAACAACCAUCGCGCGGACGCUGACACCCUCCGCCGUACUCCUCCGACCAGCGUCGCCGCCCACUGUUGCCGCGCCGCCCUGCCUGCCGGCCAGCAGCUUCCCUCUCCUCUCUUUUUUG